UAGCUUCAAAGUAAACCCCCACCUAAAAAAAAAAAAAAAACUGCUUCUUCCACCGCCCUCAGAGCUCCUGCUGCUAAAAGCUUCUGUUUGUGAUUGUUUGGCUUCCUAGUCUAUGCAAAAUAGCAUACCAGCACCCUAAGCUCAGAGCAUUAUUAAGAUGCAUCUAAAACUUAAUUGAUCCUUGCAUUGUAAUGAGUGAUUCAAUUCAAUUCCUGCUGCAAAGUUCUGAUUCAUAUUUCAUAAGAAAUUUAGGCUACAAAAACCAGUAACAAUUAGAUUUCCUUCAAGUAUUAUGCCUUCAAAUUAUGUGUUUGUGUUGCGGUCAUGAUUGUUUGUGACCCCAUUACCCAAACUCCAAAAAUGGAAGUAUGCCGUUAAGAGGAUCAACAAAUUCCAAAUCCCACCAUAACCCAAAUUUCAACCAAUUAAUUUACGCAUUGAUUGCCCUCUUACCAUCCAGACUACGAAUUCAAGAUUCUGAGUACCAUAUCACACCUAACAACGUUCUAGCAAAUAAAUUCUUUUCCAAGAACCUCUAAUUGUUAAAAGUAAAUAAAUAAUCAAGCCAAAAAAACAUUUUACCUGCAAACUGCAAAGGAAGAUGAAGAUAGAAAAGGAAGAGAGCUAUAAUAGCUUACCUCAUGACGACAAGAAUUGUUCACAUAUACCAAUUUACUUCCAUCACAAAUCGAAUUUUCUCUGUGCUCCAUUACAAGAAGCGAGCCCGCUAAUCAAGCUACCAACUUGCAGAAUUCAGGUUCCUUCUCCUCCGAACUUCGAGCAAUUGGCGCUUGAUUGUGUUUUCAAAGUGAGUGGGCUGCAGAAUUUGGGCAUAAAUUACUGUACCAUACAAGAAUAACAGCCUUGAUUCAGUCCAUUUCUU
rnacentral:misc_RNA from 1 species